AGAGUUUGAUCAUGGCUCAGAUUGAACGCUGGCGGCAUGCCUUACACAUGCAAGUCGAACGGUAACGCGGGGCAACCUGGCGACGAGUGGCGAACGGGUGAGUAAUGUAUCGGAACGUGCCCAGUAGUGGGGGGAUAGCCCGGCGAAAGCCGGAUUAAUACCGCAUACGACCUACGGGUGAAAGGGGGGGAUCGCAAGACCUCUCGCUAUUGGAGCGGCCGAUAUCAGAUUAGGUAGUUGGUGGGGUAAAGGCCUACCAAGCCGACGAUCUGUAGCUGGUCUGAGAGGACGACCAGCCACACUGGGACUGAGACACGGCCCAGACUCCUACGGGAGGCAGCAGUGGGGAAUUUUGGACAAUGGGCGCAAGCCUGAUCCAGCCAUGCCGCGUGCGGGAAGAAGGCCUUCGGGUUGUAAACCGCUUUUGUCAGGGAAGAAAUCCUUUGGGCUAAUACCCCGGAGGGAUGACGGUACCUGAAGAAUAAGCACCGGCUAACUACGUGCCAGCAGCCGCGGUAAUACGUAGGGUGCAAGCGUUAAUCGGAAUUACUGGGCGUAAAGCGUGCGCAGGCGGUUGUGUAAGACAGAUGUGAAAUCCCCGGGCUCAACCUGGGAACUGCAUUUGUGACUGCACAGCUGGAGUGCGGCAGAGGGGGAUGGAAUUCCGCGUGUAGCAGUGAAAUGCGUAGAUAUGCGGAGGAACACCGAUGGCGAAGGCAAUCCCCUGGGCCUGCACUGACGCUCAUGCACGAAAGCGUGGGGAGCAAACAGGAUUAGAUACCCUAGUAGUCC
rnacentral:rRNA from 1 species